CUCAGAUCGAUGGCCCGCUGCCCGAGGAUAUGUUUCCUGAGCCCGUACUCCCUCAGGAUCCCGAGAAUGGUUCUUUUGAAAGAGCUUUUGCCGAGGCUGAUCCUGCUGAGCCGGCUGUGAGACCAACUCCACCAGUUGACAUACCCACAGCCGUUACGUCUCCGCUACCCCCAGCGACUCAAGGGGAAGGAGGGCUUUCCUCUCAGCUUCAUGUCCUCGUAAAG